AGGCUUCAGCAUGAACAGCAGUCAAGGUACCAUGACACCACUUCUGGAUUCACUACUCACGAGUCAAGCCGUGGAAGAAAACAGAAGAGGACACUCAAUACACCUGUGAGCCCCUGGGAGAUCUCAGAUACCUAUUCAGAACUACAAAU